CUCGGUCUCCAAAGAAUUCUUGAUAACAAAAUAGCACAAAAUAUCGGAUAUUGCCAGCAUGAUAAUAUGAAAUUUAUGGAGAGAAAUAUCUCAGGUUUUAUUUUUAGUUAUGACAACAUGUGUAAGUCUGUUGGGGAAAAAUGAGUGAGAUACACCUCAUGGGUUAUUUAAUAUUUUAAUGACCUUCAGAACAAUGUGGAAGCAAAACACCCAAUUUUUAUUUUAGAUACAAUGGUUUGAUUUUCUCAGUUCAUCUGUGUUUCAAUAUAGUAGAUUUUCAAUGACUUGUGAUCAUUACAAAAUGUCAAGCACACUUUGAGAGCAUUGGCAUUUGUCAUAAUUAAAGCACUAUUUCAAACAAUAAAUCAAUAGCCACAGAAAAAGAAAGUGGUUAUUUAUUUUGUUUUUUUUUUUUGAGACAGGGUUGAAAGUGGUUAAACAAUGUCAACUUUCUUAUUACAGUCUCCUUUGAGAGAGGAGAGGAGGAGAGGGGAGGAGAGAGAAGGGGAGGGGAGGAGAGAGAGAGAAAGAGAGAGAGGAUUAUUUGAGAAAGUCAGUUCUGUGGUGUAUAUGUGUCUCAUUCAACCACCUAAAAUGGUUUUGAAAAUAUGUGUGAUAUAACAUUAAAAAGUUUAAAGCAGUCAUUUUAUAACCAUAAAACCUAGCAUUUGACUCUUUACACAUACAAAUCAAAGAAAAAAACUGAUGGAUUUUAUAAAAGUCACAGCUGUCAUUUUCUUUCACUAUUCAGAAAAUAAUAAAAUCCCUUCUAGUAACUUAUUAUUAUUAUUUCAUUUCAUUUUUUUAAACACAGAAACUUAGAAACAGGACCAAUGCCUGAGUAAACACCUUCCAUUUCCAUUCAGGAUAUGGAACUCGGGUGUUCUGCCUGUUGGCCAGUAAGGGGCGCCAUCACAAAGUGAUUACAGAGACCUGACGUUUGGGAGGCUUUUCUAAUGUCCGUCUCCUUCAGUGGGUUUUCUAGGCCAUUGCUGACCGCGUUGUACCCUCCAGGCUCCCAUCACAGCCACCGUAGGAAAAGCUGCCGCGGAGCUCAAGGCUGAGCUUUUAGAUUUCUUCUUUCCCAGUGCCGCAUGCUGAACUGAGCUGACAUGUCUUAGAGAUGGCCAAAAAUGAAAUGAUUCAAGCAACUGAGCUUCUCAGAGAUGCCAUUGUUCCCUGCAUUGUUUCAGCUACCUAGAAAGCUGCAGCAAAGCAUUCGAGUGUGGCAACUAGCCACACAUGGUUGUUUCAAGAAACGUCGAUAAUGGAUAUUACAAACAUGUUUUGGUGGCCAAACACGGACUUCCAAGGAUAGGUCUCCCCUAGCAAAGCGAAGCAAUUAUCUCAAUCAGUCAAGUGAAAAGGUCCAUUUAUGCUUCAAUUCUCUGGCUAAUUCAAGCAAAAGUAAAAUUUUCAUCUGAAUGAUCUCAGUAAUUGGCUUACUGCUUUGCUUUCUCGGAGAGAACUUAACAAAGAAACAAGCUGUUCCACACUAGCAGGGUAGUGGUGACCCUGGGACGGGUGCGCAGAAUAGCGCGAGAGUGCAGACUUCGUAUGGAAAUUUCAACAGACUGCACCUCGUUGAGGAGGAUGAUUAGUGGGGCUUUUAAAUUCAUCCUUUCUCGCCGCCCUUUCCCCAGCCACCAGUCACUCCUCCCUUAAUGUUUCCAGUCCGCAGCAAGCAUACCACUGGGGACAAAUAGGGCAAAUGAGGAAACCCAUCUGUCAUCCUUGACUCCUUCCUUCCGCUGAACCUUUUUGACUUAUCUUUGGAGCACGUUGGUCCCACGACAUUCCCACAACCAUUGUUCAAACAACCGGCGGUGCUUUGCGGUGCUUUCACUCACUUGACUUGAAUUGAGGGCAUCCCGAGGCAGGUGCAAAGCGGGGUCCUGCAAACAGAGGUGAGCCAGAUGACAGACUCGGCUAUUCCCAGUUGCUUCCUGUCUUAUAUCCGCCCUCUAAACCACUUUCCAGCUUCCUGCAGCUUCGCGCCCUUAAAAUGCCGAGCUGCUCACUGCUUUGCUGUACAAUAGCAAAGCCCUAAGCAUGGCUCAGAAGGACUUGGGUGAGCGGGCACUGGCUUCAUAUUCAGUCUCUUUUCUUGCCACUCUCUUAGGGUCUUAUAUCUAAUUAAUUUGAUAUUUCCAGUGUUGCCUGUAAUGGCUGCUUUGAUCAGAAAUGCCCCGUCUGCCUUUACCCAACCUUAUAUCUGCAUUGCUUUAUUUGUUUUUAAUUAUUAAUUACUGUCCAUGACGUUACAGCGGCCUCUGUCUCCCACGACUUUCAUCCUUUAAUUCCAGAGAAUAUUUUCAUGGCCCCUUAAGUAACUAUUAUCUAAUACUAAAAUCAGUUCUUUUAACUAGUCCUCUUUUACUGUGGCCUUCGGUUCCUUUACUGUUUUUACCACUCUCUUCAGAAAGGAUUCUAGUAAGGGAAUACCUCUUAAAUAUACCAAUCAGAAUUCAACUCCCUGUUCCAUGUGGGUCUUAGUACCAUGAAGGGCCAACCUCACAUCAGUAAAUACACAGUCAGUUUUUCAAACCCAAGUUCAAGGCUCUACUUGUCUCUUCUCUCUUACACAGGAUUUUUCUAGGUUAAAAAAAAAAUCACAUCUUUAUUCUUUCUUCUGAGUGACAAACAGGCUGUAUCACGCAGAAAUAUGCUGGGACUAUUCCUUCCAAGACUGACUUGUUAUCCCUCAGAAAUGGUCUCAGCUGUAGGGAAAUGUCCUGCUCCCUUUCUUUGGCUACCCACAUGCAGUGACCUAUCAGGGCAGGGCUCUGGGAUGCUGUAGCUUUCACUCACUGAAGAACAACUCUCAUGUGCACUAGACAUUUUAGGGGAUUCAGCUAGACAUCCGUGAGUCCUGGGUCAUGGUGCAUCUUUUCCACCUCUCCAAUUUGUGUCACAACAGCAACGAAGGCUGCUGCUGUUAGGGGAACUCUUUCCUUCUGGUCAAGAGAAGGAAAUCUCUGGCCUAGGUAGAGGCAGAGCAUUCCAGUUGACAGGUCAAUCACCUGGACACGGAACCAGCCCUCAGGAAGGCAGGCUCAUCUUAAGCCAUGGUAGAGGUGGGAGUGACUAUCACUUCUCUAAUGAGAUCAAUUCCUUUUGCUUCCCAGAUUCCUACCCAUUGCUAGAGCCCCGACAACCACCACGAUGUUCUGUUGGGUCCGCAGUCACUUUUCCUUUUUCUUUACUGUCUCACGUGCGGAUCACAGCGCAGCCUAAGCGUGCUUUCUCUGGCACUUUGGCAUCCUUCCUCCUUUCCUGAAGCUCCACUCUCUGCUGUGUGCUUGCUUGUCCCCCGUGUGGUUGACCUUUAUGCUGGCUGAAUUCACAUGACAUGUUUUGUUUUUGGGUUUUUUUUUCCCCUUCUCUUCUCUUUCUCCUUCCCCAGGUAGCUGCCAAGAAUAGCAGCUUGCCUGCCCUUGGUUUUUUCUUUCAAACUCUAAUAAAAUUGUUCUUGAACUUC